rnacentral:rRNA from 1 species
UACGAAAGGGGCUAGCGUUGUUCGGAAUUACUGGGCGUAAAGCGCGCGUAGGCGGACUGUCAAGUUGGGGGUGAAAUCCCGGGGCUCAACCUCGGAACUGCCUCCAAAACUGUCAGUCUAGAGGAUGUGAGAGGAUGGUGGAAUUCCGAGUGUAGAGGUGAAAUUCGUAGAUAUUCGGAAGAACACCGGUGGCGAAGGCGACUGUCUGGCACAUUUCUGACGCUGAGGUGCGAAAGCGUGGGGAGCAAACAGG